CCUACGGGAGGCAGCAGUGGGGAAUAUUGCACAAUGGGGGAAACCCUGAUGCAGCAACGCCGCGUGGGUGAAGGAGCGUUUCGGCGCGUAAAGCCCUGUCAGCGGGGAAGAAGAAAGACGGUACCCGACCAAGAAGCCCCGGCUAACUACGUGCCAGCAGCCGCGGUAAUACGUAGGGGGCGAGCGUUAUCCGGAUUUAUUGGGUUUAAAGGGUGCGUAGGCGGAAUGCCAAGUCAGCGGUAAAAUCGCGGGGCUCAACCUCGCUCCGCCGUUGAAACUGGCGUGCUUGAGUGGGCGAGAGGUAGGCGGAAUGCGUGGUGUAGCGGUGAAAUGCAUAGAUAUCACGCAGAACUCCGAUGGCGAAGGCAGCAUGCCGGCGCCCAACUGACGCUGAAGCCCGAAAGCGUGGGUAUCGAACAGGAUUAGAUACCCUGGUAGUC
rnacentral:rRNA from 1 species